AUUGAACGCUGGCGGCAGGCCUAACACAUGCAAGUCGAGCGAGCGGCGGACGGGUGAGUAAUGUCUGGGAAACUGCCUGAUGGAGGGGGAUAACUACUGGAAACGGUAGCUAAUACCGCAUACCAUCAGAUGUGCUCAGAUGGGAUUAGCUCGUGGGUGGGGUAACGGCUCACCUAGGCGACGAUCCCUAGCUGGUCUGGGAGGAUGACCAGCAACACUGGAACUAAGACACGGUCAAGACUCCAACGGGAGGCAAAAGGGGGGAAGAUUGCACAAUGAGGGCAAGCCUGAGGAAGCAAGGCCGCGUGUGGGAAGAGGGCCUUCGGGUUGUAAAGCACGUUCAGCGGGGAGGCGGUACCCGCAGAAGAAGCACCGGCUAACUCCGUGCCAGCCGCCGCGGUAAUAC
rnacentral:rRNA from 1 species